CACAGAUCAAAUGCAGGGAAGGAGAGGAUGGACAGUGAUAAUUUAGGAGCAGUUGCAUCUGUAGACUGAAAAUGACCUGAAAUGCUGGCAGAGUCUUCUGGGUUUUGACAUUUCCUGUGUGGGAUCUCCAUAUAUUAUUGCCCAUCAGUCAAGCAGGAAAAAAAGGGUAUCAUUCUAUCACCAAGAGUGGAGGGCAGUGCCAUGAUCUCGGGUCACUGCAGCCUCAACCUCCUGGGCUCAAGCAAUCCUUCCAGCUCAGCCUCCCAAGUACCUGGGACUAUAGGCACUCUCCAUUACACCUGGCUAAUUUUUUGGUAUUUUUUUGUAGAGAUGGGGUCUCAUCACAUUGCCCAGGCUGGUUCUGACCUCCUGGGCUCAAGUGAUCCACCCACUUCAGCCUCCCAAAGUGCUGGGAUUACAGGCGUGAGCCAUCAUUCUGGGCCUAAGUAACCCUAUCAUCUAAAUAUGCCUCUUAGGAAAUUGCAUCAUAGUCUUCAAGUGGAAGAGGCACGUUAUUUAGAGUAUAUUGACUAAGAGUGCAUUUUCUGGCCUCAGGAAAAAAAAAAGGUUUAAAUCCUGGUGUUAUCAAUGAUUAGCCAUGGGACCUUGUUCGAGUGCUUAGUAAUUCUGAGCCUUAUUUUUUUCCCAUCUGUUAAGUGGGGAAUAAAAAUAGUAUCUCCCCUAUAA